rnacentral:tRNA from 1 species
UUAUGAGAAGCAAAAAAAUUGCAUUUAGUUUCGACCUAAAAGUAAGGCUGCCCCGCCCUCAU